GUGAUAUUAGUUUUUAGAUGUGUGAAUAGUAUUCCUACACUUACAUGUAAAAUAUUAUCAUUUUACCAAAAAAUCGUCAAUAUGUUUUUUGAAGGGACUAUCUGUUUUACAUCCGGAUGAAAACGAAUUCGUUUUCAGUCAGAUUUUCCCACCUAUUACAGAAUGACAAGUGUCUCCCUGUCCCGUGUCUCAUGUCCUCUGUUAGUUCCUACUUGCCCCCGGUUUUAAGCACACCAGCAUCACGAGCUUAAACGGGUCCACACACCAACUCUUAAACACCACCAGCAUCAUGAUCUUAACGGGUCCACAACCCAACUUUUCCCGCUCGGACAGAGAAGCAAAGUUACAGGCAAGCUUUACCAUGUACAUGUGCACUAAGCUAAAGCAAUAUGAAAAGAAAAGGAAAGGAUCAGGAUGAUGUCAUCUAAGCACACACACCUAAAAUGACAUGACAAAUUAAGCUCUGGAGCACUAAAAAUUACAUUGAAAAGCUAUAAAAUUACAAUAAUAAUUCCACUAUUAUUUUCAGUGUAAUAUCCACUACAAAAAUGCACUGCAGAGGGGAAGAACAUGGAGGGGGGAGAAUAGCUAGAGGAAACGGGAAUAAGCGCCAACCAAGAGGGCGAUUCCUCCAUGAUCUGGGACAGAAACCUGAAGAUGAUCCACUCUGCUGAAGAUGACUAAACACAGGUAAACAGCCCCAACUUUGCAAUCACCACAUACUAAGUAUGAUUUAGACAGAUCUCUCUCCCCUGCCUGUCUACAUCAGAAAUCAAAUAAAGGGCGGCUGUGAACCAUUAUAUAUACAUGCUGCAGAGACAAAUAAACUAAAAAAAAGGAAUUCUGGAAGUUUACACUAGAACCAAGAAUUAAACUAGAUCCAGGAAGAACCCUAGGAUCCUAUGAGUCUAGGGGUGCACGAGCAGAAAGGUUAGGAAACAAAAAAUCCAUGUUAAAAUCGUGAAUUUCAGAACUACUAGGAAGUUCCUGAAUUGAAAACAACAGUUACAGCACAUGGAAAUGAGUAUAAAAAAGAUAGGGAUCACAUGUUCUGGGAGAUAAAAUACAAAAAGUUAGGAAAAUCCUUGAACAAACAGGUUAGAAAUGCUAUUUUUAUAAAGCUAGGACUGUAAUUCAGAAACUUUGGCACACACAAACUAUACACUAAUCAGAAGCUUAGAUCAUGAUUACAAAAUAACUCAUUUACAAGAAAGUAAAGAAACUAGGACUGAAUUUUAUAAACUUUGGAACUACAUAGAAAGACCUUUCUUUCCUACUUGAAGUUCAAAUUGCUACAAACUACUAUUUGUAAAUACAAAUGAGUACACAUAGGAAGUAAUAAAAUGAUCAAUUUCAUAUCAAUUAAGCCUAUCAACUGACAAAAAGGGGCAAACACAUGUACAAGCAGACAGUACAUGUUUCAAGAUUAACAGAACAAUGCUUAUAUACAUUUUUACAUUUACAGGUGCCUGCAAUGGAAUCAAAUGGGAUGGAAACAAGCAUGAAGGGCCAGAACUUGUACCUCGAACAUGAUGAAGCUAAGUUCCUCAAUGUAUGUCUCUCUUAUAGCAUUAACAAAUCCUGUGAAAAGAAAACAGAUUCAAUCAUGUUUUUCGAAAUUGGUUAUUGACAACAAAACAGAGUGGAGCAUACUUGUUUACUCAACAAAACAGUGCAAGUCCACUGAGAGUUACAGUGUAAAUCCAAUAAGAAUUACACUUUAAAAUCCUGGAAUUACACUGUAAAACCCACUAAAAAUUACGGUGUAAGUCCACUGAGAGAUACAGUGUAAAUCCAAUAAGAAUUCCACUAAAUAUAAUACAAAUAUAAUCCAACCCCUACUCAAAUGCAGAUUACAAAAGGGUAAAAUACCGUCCCUACCCAAAAGCACUAAGGAUUACAGUGUAAAUCCACUGAAAUUACACUGAAAAAUAUCAAGAGUUACAGUGUAAAUAACACUGAAAAUCACAGUGUAAAUCCACUAAAAACUACGGAGUAAAUCCACUAAAAAUUACACUGAAAUAAUCAAGAGUUACAGUGCAAAUUCCACUAAAAAAUUACAGUCUAAAUCGGUAAAUCCACUAAAAACUACAUUGUAAAUCCACUGAAAAUUACACUGUAAAAAUCAAGAGUUACAAUGCAAGUCCACUGGAAAUUACAGUGCAAAUCCACUAAAAACUACAGUGUAAACCCACUUAAGCUUACAUUGUAAAUCCACUGAAAAUUACACUGUAAAAAUCAAGAGUUAAGAUGCAAGUCCAUUGGAAAUUACAGUGCAAAUCCACUAAAAACUACAGUGUAAAUCCACUUAAGCUUACAUUUUAAAUCCACUGAAAAUCACACUGUAAAAAUCAAGAGUUAAGAUGCAAGUCCAUUGGAAAUUAUAGUGCAAAUCCACUAAAAACUACAGUGUAAAUCCACUAAGAAUCCUCUGAACCCACUAAAGAAUUACAUUACAAAAUGCACUAAGGAUACAUUGAAAAUGCACUGAGAAUUACACUACAAAAAAAUCACCUAAAGUACUAAAGAAAUUACACUGUAAAUCCACUGAGAAUUACAGUGUAAAACCACUAGGAACACACACUAAAAUCUUCACUGUAAUUGCACCAAAAUCACCACUGUAAUUACGAUUCAAAAGCACUGUAAUUCCAGUGAAAAUGCCCACAAUAAUUACACUGAAACAUACACUGUACUUACAAUGUAAAUUUCAGUGAAAUUACACUGGAUUUCUAAUAAAUACACAUGAGGAGACUUGAACACAGUGUAAUCACAUUAAAUUAGCUGUGAUUACACUGAUUUUAUAUAUUCAUACAAACUAUGAGCUAGAUUCAGCAUCUACAUCCAAACUGGAGGGGUCCGUAGCGACAACUACAGGAGGGAUGGUACACACCUAGGAGUUCAGCACCUACAACCAACCAGGAGGGAUCCACAGCGACAACUACAAGAGGGAUCCACUAAAGAAAUUGAACACAACUAGGAGCUACUCUUCACAAUGGCAACUAGAGCGCAAUCUGGAAGCACAAAAAAUCAACAAUACACAGGAAGGAUCCACCACUACAUACACAUCGGACCACACACCUGCAACAUCCAAAACAUCUAGGAACCACGGCAACACAGGGGAACAUACAGGAUUCGCCGGAUCUAGCAAAAAUCGAACAGAAAAGGCUGGGGGAGGAACACAGGGGGCAAGGAUACUUACAAAACCAACCAUGGAUGGAGGAUGAGGAGGGGUACACAGGGUUCGCAGAUCCACACGAGGAAGAUGAGGAGUGGCGCGAAGUCAAGCGAAGCAGAGAAGACAACGCAGCCGGAUCACCAUGGCAUCGAUUUCGCCUCUCCCUCUGCGUGCGUUUGAGGACAAGGAAGCAGGGGAUGGGAGGGGGGAGGGGGGAGGAGGACCGGAUGCCUAGCCACCGGCUCGCCCUCGAGAGAUCGGCGACUGAGAUCUCUUGCCAAAAUUCGCCAUGAAUCAAUGCAUCAAGCUCGCGCCGCUGGAAAUGGGGAAGAAAACGGACAAAGUCAGCAGAGGAGAAAAAAAAGGAAAUUCGAGGGAAAAACCCGUCUGCGACACGCUACCCGCCCCGAUUAACGGGUCUCCAGGAGAAGGUUGCGGGCCCGAUAACAAACAAAACACCCCGAGGUAGGGAAAAAAAAAGAGAGGAAAUCACGAAUCAUGACACAAGGAUCGAACGAGCAGAAAAACGGAUGAAUGCGAAAAGAUUUCAGCCGGAUGAAAAUUAGCAUUUCCGUUUUUGAAACUUAUAUGAAAAGUAUUGGCAUAUUUGACCCAAAACACACUAAUAUGUAUGCAGAGAAAAAUGGACAAAAUGUGAUAUAAAUGGAAAAGAAAGAAAAGUGUGGAAGCAUUCUUGGGGCCAGCCCAGGUGAGGCGGGCGCGUGGGCGACGCUGCUUUAUAUAGACCACCCCACAUCGCACGGAGAGCACGCGAAGCAAUCUUGCUGUCUACACCAGCAC
rnacentral:lncRNA from 1 species